rnacentral:rRNA from 1 species
CGCUGGCGGCGCGCAUAAACAUGCAAGUCGAGCGAGGGCUCUUCUCCCGCAAGGGAGGGGAGUUCCUAGCGGCGAACGGGUGAGUAACACGUGGGCAACCUUUCCUAUCGCGGGGGAUAACAGCGGGAAACCGCUGCUAAUACCGCAUGUCGUCACCGGUCGCAUGGCCGGUGAAGAAAGCAGCAAUGCACGAUGGGGUGGGCCCGCGGCCUAUCAGCUAGUCGGUGGGGUAACGGCCUACCGAGGCGAUGACGGGUAGCUGGUCUGAGAGGACGACCAGCCACACGGGGACUGAGACACGGCCCCGACUCCUACGGGAGGCAGCAGUGAGGAAUCUUCCGCAAUGGGCGAAAGCCUGACGGAGCGACGCCGCGUGUGGGAUGAAGUCCUUCGGGAUGUAAACCACUGUUGGAGGGGAAGAUAGUGACGGUACCCUCCGAGAAAGCCCCGGCUAACUACGUGCCAGCAGCCGCGGUAAUACGUAUGGGGCUAGCGUUAUCCAGAUUUAC